rnacentral:lncRNA from 1 species
AUGUCUUGGGGUCAUCACAAAUUCAAGUCAACUUCUUCUCCCUUCUGCAUUUUGAGGAUAAUGUGGCAAUCCCAAAGAACUGAAAGAUUUCCUUGGUGCCUUUUGAAUCAUCAAAGACUAAAUUACGUUUGCUAUCAACCUAUUGUUCUUUUUAUUUUAUAUGCGUAUGUGUGUAUUUGGGUAUAUGUGUGUAUGCAUGCAUACACACAUACUGGAAAACAGAUAUGUUACGUUCAUAUGACUCAGGUGUGUCGUCCCUCUGGAGAAGCAGGUUUACGAUAACAUGCCUGAAAUUUAGAUCUUUAUUAUGGUACUUGUCUCUCAGUCUGCUUUGGUUCAGAUUCACUUGUGUUUGCAUCUUUUCCACAGGCUGUGAGCUCCUGGAGGUCAGUAACUACGUCUUUUUUAUUUUUAUUUUUUGAUAUUCACAAUGCAUAAUGACUCUUUUGAAGUAAAAGCAGAAGUAAGCUGAAUAUCAAAAUACUUUAAAAUCAGUGUUUUCACGUUAGACAUGCUGAGUACAGAUAAGAAAGCUAUCGCCUUCCUGAAGCGAACCAAAUAGGACAUAUUCCAACGGGCAAUGAAGAGCGACGUCCUAAAGCAGUGAAGACUAUGGGCAGACUGGCUGGAUUCAACCCGACUCUGGCACUUACCAGCUGUGGGAUGUGGGUUAACCUGCCUAACUUCUCUGUACUUCAGUUUCUCAACUGUGAAAUGGGAAUAAUUAUGAGACCUAGCACACAUGAGGACCCAGUGAAGUAAUACAUGGCCUUGUCAGUCAUGCCUCACUUGUGGACUGGCCCAGCACCCACUGGUGCAGAAAAGUGAACUUAGAAGGUGUGUGCACAGGUGUAUGUGCAUGGCUGGGUGUGUGCCUAUGUGCACACGUGCAUGUGUGCACAGAUGCAUAUACAUAUAUGUGCACGUGUGUUACAGGCCUGGUGCACACACGUAAGCACACGGGCACCUACAUAUGUAUAUGUGUGCGCACAUGUGUGGCUGAGUAUGUGCACACAUGCACACAUGUGCUUGUUACGUGUGUGCACACGUGUGCAUUGUAUGGCUGGGGUGUAGUGAACAUCUUUAUGAGCAUGUGCAGUGGGCAUGAACGUGUGUUUGGUGCAGGAGCGAGAAGCAGCUCAUCAUAGUCUCUGUCCUUGAUACAUCUGCAGUCCGGGUGGGGAGGCUCAGUACAGAUGCAGCAGCGAAACAGCACGGACAUCAACAGGCCCCCUGCAUUUCACUCUACAAAGUGGGUCGUAUUACUGGAUGUUCGUGUUUACGAGGUCCUCAGGCACUUUAAGCAAUAAAACAUGGUCUGUGUUUUCUUCGUCCA